rnacentral:rRNA from 1 species
UACGAAGGGGGCUAGCGUUGCUCGGAAUCACUGGGCGUAAAGCGCACGUAGGCCGAUUGUUAAGUCAGGGGUGAAAUCCUGGAGCUCAACUCCAGAACUGCCUUUGAUACUGGCAACCUAGAGACUGGAAGAGGUUAGUGGAAUUCCCAGUGUAGAGGUGAAAUUCGUAGAUAUUGGGAAGAACACCAGUGGCGAAGGCGGCAUCCUGGACCGGUAUUGACGCUGAGGCGCGAAAGCUAGGGUAGCAAACGGG